rnacentral:rRNA from 1 species
GACGGAGGGGGCUAGCGUUGUUCGGAAUUACUGGGCGUAAAGCGUGCGUAGGCGGCCUUUCAAGUUGGGUGUGAAAGCCCGGGGCUUAACCCCGGAAAUGCGCCCAAGACUGUUUGGCUAGAGACCCGGAGAGGUGAGUGGAACUCCCAGUGUAGAGGUGAAAUUCGUAGAUAUUGGGAAGAACACCGGUGGCGAAGGCGGCCAUCUGGACCGCAACUGACGCUGAGGCGCGACAGCGUGGGGAGCAAACAGG